rnacentral:lncRNA from 2 species
UGAAGGAGUGGCUCCGCUUGCUGGGCCACCUCGUUACCGGAUGCCGGAAGCUCCCCGCGCCAGCGCUGCUUGGGCAAACUACGUGGUCGCGCUGUUGAUGCAGGUCAAGGCCAUGUUCUCGUAGACCUCCUGGCCGCCGCCGCCAGUGACGCGUGCGACAGGGGGCGCCGCGUCGAUGAGCAGCGAGCGGCACAUUACGUCGGAGAUCGAGGAGUAGCGCCGCAGCGACGGCAGUGGGGCGGCGCGACCAUGCGCUUGCGGUGGCGAUCGAUCCCCUCCCAUUUUUAUUUCUUUCAGCUUGCAAUCGAUUUGGUUGGUUGCCUUGUUGAUCAAUCGGAGAAGGAGGUGAAGGUCGCCGGCGUAUCGCUAUCUUUCCUAUUUUUCUCAUCACGGCCCUACACGGGCUCGACGGCGACGCCAUCCGCCGCGGGCGACGUCACCGACGGUGACCAUGAACUGUGUCGCAUCGGGGUUGUCCGCCACCACGUGGCUGAAUUGAAACCUAACGACGAAGCCGCCGGACACGAAUGC